GCGGUUAUAGCUCAGUCGGUUAGAGCGCAUCCCUGAUAAGGAUGAGGUCCCAGGUUCGAGUCCCGGUAACCGCACCA
rnacentral:tRNA from 1 species